rnacentral:rRNA from 1 species
GAUGAACGCUAGCUACAGGCUUAACACAUGCCAGUCGAGGGGAAACGACAUCGAAAGCUUGCUUUUGAUGGGCGUCGACCGGCGCACGGGUGAGUAACGCGUAUCCAACCUGCCCAUCACUUGGGAAUAACCUUGCGAAAGUAAGACUAAUACCCAAUGACAUCCCACGAAGACAUCUGAAUGGGAUUAAAGAUUUAUCGGUGAUGGAUGGGGAUGCGUCUGAUUAGCUUGUUGGCGGGGUAACGGCCCACCAAGGCAACGAUCAGUAGGGGUUCUGAGAGGAAGGUCCCCCACAUUGGAACUGAGACACGGUCCAAACGCCUACGGGAGGCAGCAGUGAGGAAUAUUGGUCAAUGGGCGAGAGCCUGAACCAGCCAAGUAGCGUGCAGGAUGACGGCCCUAUGGGUUGUAAACUGCUUUUAUAAGGGAAUAAAGUGGGUCUCGUGAGACUUUUUGCAUGUACCUUAUGAAUAAGGACCGGCUAAUUCCGUG